AGAGUUUGAUCCUGGCUCAGGACGAACGCUGGCGGCGUGCUUAACACAUGCAAGUCGAACGGUGAAGUCCCUUCGGGGGCGGAUCAGUGGCGAACGGGUGAGUAACACGUGGGCAAUCUGCCCCUCACUGUGGGAUAACUCCGGGAAACCGGGGCUAAUACCGCAUAUGAAGCCUGGCGGCAUCGCCGGGUUUGGAAAGUUUUUCGGUGAGGGAUGAGCCCGCGGCCUAUCAGCUUGUUGGUGAGGUAAUGGCUCACCAAGGCGACGACGGGUAGCCGGCCUGAGAGGGCGACCGGCCACACUGGGACUGAGACACGGCCCAGACUCCUACGGGAGGCAGCAGUGGGGAAUAUUGGGCAAUGGGCGAGAGCCUGACCCAGCGACGCCGCGUGCGGGAUGAAGGCCUUCGGGUUGUAAACC
rnacentral:rRNA from 1 species